rfam:Schistosoma mattheei strain Denwood, Zambia genome assembly, scaffold: SMTD_scaffold0025140
AUCCAUCUGACGCGUCGCAAAUAAGACGAAACGCGUGUUCUAGGU